UCCUCAUGAGCUCCUUAUUUAAAUAGGUGAAGCACAAUUAAGGUCAGGGGAAAGGUUAUACUGCCAGUUAAGGGCAGGAGAUGGCCAUUAGUACUAUAUAUUCAGUUCUUCCAAAACUCAUUAGGAUAUUAAUCUGUAUCAAUUUGUGUGACUUCCUCUCUGUGAUUCAGAAUGCAACCACUUUUAUUAUCUUUAAUACGGGUCACUCCCUAUGUGUACCUAUUCCUCAAAGCUCUGAGUCUGGGUUUUUGUUUUUGUUUUUUUUCCAGAUGGGCAUAGAAAUGUCCAUUUUAUCCUUUGCUAAAGAUAAUUAUCCCAGAGAAACAGAAAUAAGGAGAAAAAAAGAAGCAGAAUGUUUCCUGAUAUCAAUAUCUGUGCAAGGAAUCCAAGGAAUAUCUGUGCAAGGAGAUGGUAAGAGGAAAGUCUGUUGCUGUUGGUGGAACACAGGAACCAGUCUAUGUUACUAAGGGAUCAUGCCUGGCCAGACCAGGCUGAAAAAGCUGAUCUUUGCAGAAGGGAGUCAUCAAAAUCCAGUGGCAAGACAAAAGUCAGGAUGACUGGUAAUGGUCCAGGAUGCAGUAGGUGACUUUGGUGUCUUCAAAGUCUGACCAAGCUCUUAGAGCUACACAACACCUAUGUUAGUUGCCUUCAUCGCCAUUGGAACAAACUGUUCUCAUCUGCCCAUUCCUUUGGGAGAGGUCUUCAUGUUCUUAGAGGAAAUAACGUACAAAUAUGAAAGAAGUUGACUUGGAAUUCAAGAACCUGGAAUUGAAUCCUUGCCUUGCUACCUACUUACCUAUUUGACCUUGGGCA
rnacentral:lncRNA from 1 species